ensembl:misc_RNA 7SK 7SK RNA
AGCUGUGAGAGCAAUUUGGCUGAGACAUCUGUUGUCCCUUUGUUCAUCAGUGAUGAGUCUACUGAUCUGAUUGGCGAGGCAGAUGUCCCCCCCUUCUUCCCUCACUGCUCCCUUUGCACCCCUCCCCCCAAAGCUGUACACUUGGAAAUAAGGACAAAUAAACAGGAAGGGAAUUCAUGGUCUUGGGUAAGCUUGUUUAAAGGAAUAGUAGAGAAUAAGAGGAGAGGAGGGGCUU